rnacentral:rRNA from 1 species
CCUACGGGAGGCAGCAGUAGGGAAUCUUUCACAAUGGGCGAAAGCCUGAUGGAGCAACGCCGCGUGCAGGAUGAAGGCCUUCGGGUUGUAAACUGCUUUUAUAAGCGAGAAAUAUGAUGGUAACUUAUGAAUAAGGAUCGGCUAACUACGUGCCAGCAGCCGCGGUCAUACGUAGGAUCCGAGCAUUAUCCGGAGUGACUGGGUGUAAAGAGUUGCGUAGGUGGGAUAAUAAGUAGCUAGUGAAAUCUGGUGGCUCAACCAUUCAGACUAUUAGCUAAACUGUUAAGCUCGAGACCGUUAGGGGUAACUGGAAUUUCUAGUGUAGGAGUGAAAUCCGUAGAUAUUAGAAGGAACACCAAUAGCGUAGGCAGGUUGCUGGGACGGUUCUGACACUAAGGCACGAAAGCGUAGGGAGCAAACGGGAUUAGAUACCCCUGUAGUC